rnacentral:rRNA from 1 species
GAUCUUGGUUCAGGAUGAACGCUAGCGGCAGGCUUAACACAUGCAAGUCGAGGGGCAGCGGGAUGUAGCAAUACAUUGCCGGCGACCGGCGGAUGGGUGCGUAACGCGUAUGCAACCUACCUUAUACAGGGGAAUAACCUUUCGAAAGGGAGACUAACACCCCAUAGUAUUGAUUUAAGGCAUCUUAGAUUAAUUAAAUAUUUAUAGGUAUAAGAUGGGCAUGCGUAUGAUUAGCUAGUUGGUAAGGUAACGGCUUACCAAGGCGACGAUCAUUAGGGGUUCUGAGAGGAAGGUCCCCCACACUGGUACUGAGACACGGACCAGACUCCUACGGGAGGCAGCAGUGAGGAAUAUUGGUCAAUGGGCGCAAGCCUGAACCAGCCAUGCCGCGUGCAAGGAAGACGGCCUUAUGGGUUGUAAACUGCUUUUACAUAAGACUAACCGUAUAUUUGCGAAUAUACCUGAAUGUAUUAUGAGAAUAAGGAUCGGCUAACUCCGUGCCAGCCGCCGC